CAUUGAAACACCUGUUCUCGUCCGGUUACCGAAGUUAAGCAACGUUGAGCCUGGUUAGUACAUAGAUGGGUGACCACUUGGGAAUACCAGGUGCUGUA